rnacentral:rRNA from 1 species
AUCGAACGCUGGCGGCAGGCCUAAUACAUGCAAGUCGAGCGAGCGGCGGACGGGUGAGUACUGUCUGGGAAACUGUCUGUUGGAUGGGGAUCACUACUGGAAACGGUAGCUAAUACCGCAUUCCAUCGGCUGUGCCGAGUUGGGAUUAGCUAGUAGGUGGGGUAAAGGCUCACCUAGGCGACGAUCCCUAGCUGGUCUGCGAGGGUGAGCAGCCACACUGGAACUGAGACACGGACCAGACUCCUACGGGAGGCAGCAGUGGGGAAUAUUGCACAAUGGGCGCAAGCCUGACGGAGCAAUGCCGCGUGAAUGAAGAAGGCCUUCGGAUUGUAAAGUACUUUCAUCGGAGAGGCGGGACCCACAGAGAAAGCGCCGGCUAACUCCGUGCCAGCAGCCGCGGUAAUAC